rnacentral:lncRNA from 1 species
AAAUGUGACAUCCUGCCAUGGGAAGCUGGUUUUCAAAGUGACCCAGCUUCACUUCUGAUGUACCAGCUACCUCCCAGGCAAAGCUAAUCAAGGCGCUGUAACAGUAGGGAAAGGGAAAAAAAGCACGCCAAACCUAGCAAGUCGCCCUGGGAACCACUGCCCGCGGCUGCUGCCGACUAUCGCCAGCCAUCAAAUUGGCAGCAUUUGGCAUCUGCCAGUGAGAGAAGCUGCUAGAUCAAGUGCUGUCGGUUGGACCGUGAGCUUGCUGAGGACUGGUGAGCACUUAGGAAGGGGAACACACAGCUGUGCAGCUGUGGUCAUAAGCUCCUGAUGCAACUAGUGCUCCACAAGCAGUUGAUUGCAAAGGAAGAAAUGCGCUACUGCCUUGAUGAAGAAAUGCGCUACUGCCUUGAUGAUGCAGCCUCCUGUUCCCAAGUAAGUAAUUUCUAUUCCAGCUGCUAAGUAGCCUUUAAAAGAGCUACAAUAUAUAUAUAAAAAAAGAGUAUGUCAUUCUCUCUUUUCAAAUUUUCCUUCUAUUAGAGAAGGUGAAGGUUCUUGAAUGUUGCUUAGGAUUUAAAGUUUUAAAUAGUAGGGGUUGUGGCCUGUGAAAAUGGAGCUGGAAGAUAGUUUUGGGAUUUCCAGGUACAGGCUCAUGAAGGUUAGAGGCGUUCUGAAAGUUAGGAUGCACAGCAGCUGCUGAGCUGACCCACUGCUCCUACCACCCACCGAGAAGCACUAGUGUCAGCGCUGAGAGUUGCCAGGAGAUAUAUAUUUUGGAACCUUGGUAGCGACUCUUUCAUGAUAUGCCACUUGCAGAUGAUAUACAGAGCAGCACACAGUUCAUCUAUUUGGUGAAAAUAUUAACUGCCAACCUUACGUUUG